rnacentral:rRNA from 1 species
CAGGUGGUGCAUGGUUGUCGUCAGCUCGUGUCGUGAGAUGUUGGGUUAAGUCCCGCAACGAGCGCAACCCUCGUUCCAUGUUGCCAGCACGUAGUGGUGGGGACUCAUGGGAGACUGCCGGGGUCAACUCGGAGGAAGGUGGGGAUGACGUCAAAUCAUCAUGCCCCUUAUGUCUUGGGCUUCACGCAUGCUACAAUGGCCGGUACAAUGGGUUGCGAUACUGUGAGGUGGAGCUAAUCCCUAAAAGCCGGUCUCAGUUCGGAUUGGGGUCUGCAACUCGACCCCAUGAAGUCGGAGUCGUUAGUAAUCGCAGAUCAGCAACGCUGCGGUGAAUACGUUCCCGGGCCUUGUACACACCGCCCGUCAAGUCACGAAAGUUGGUAACACCCGAAGCCGAUGGCCUAACCACCUUGUGUGGGGGGAGUCGUCGAAGGUGGGAC